rnacentral:lncRNA from 1 species
UCGUGGAGAAGCGAGUUCGGGUUUCAAGUACCUGGAUUUGGGGUCGCCACAGAGUCCCUGCAUAUUUAUUGAUUUUCCGGCUGAAUUUGAGAGUGUUUUCGGGCGAGGGGGGUGAGUGUGUGUGAGAGAGAGAAAGAAAGGGAAAUUAGUGAGUGUGUGUGUGUGAGAGAGAAAGAGAGAGAGGGAGGGUUAUGUCAAAUUGUCAACGGGGGUUUGGAAAAGAAGAGUGGGAUAUAAAGGACGUGUGUAUAUUAUAGAAUAUAUGGGGGUGGUUUUGGGGGUUUUAUAAAUAAAGGGAAAUGAAUAUCGGAAUUGGGAGGUGGAGUGAUUAUUUGUUUAUACUGAUACCAUGUGUUUGUAUAAAUGCCAUAAAGAGAUUAAUUUGGUUAAAACAUGAAAAUUAACGGGUUCUCUCUGUAAAUUGAUGUACAUACAUGAGUUAUAAGUUAACUCAAGUUAUUUGAGUGCUUCAUCAGUUAAAAAAAAUCACUUUUAGCGGCCACUUUUUCUGCUAACUUUUUCUUCCUCUCUAACGCCUGCUUAGUUUUAGCCAUCUAUUCCUUUCGCUUCAAUUCCUACACAUCGUUGCUCCGGACCUCCGGUAACCGCCCUCAAAUUUUUCCCCCCCUCAAGUUUUGUUCUGGUUCCGCCACUGCCUAUCAGAUGAAACAACUACUUCGGAUGAAACAACUACUCAUCCUUCGUUAUGAUCGGGAAGCUUCGUCUGCAAUUUGACGAUCGACGAUCAGAAUAUAUAAUUACAAAAAGAGUAGGAAAAUGAACACCGGAGACAGCGAAGAUGUCUUCCGUUAAUUCAUAAUCAAAUAGUCAUGCCUGUAACGCACCCAAAAUAGGUAUACAUCAGUUAUUCUGAGUCGCCAAAUACAUGGUACAUAAUAUAAAUACAAUCUUAAUUAUACAACAAGAGAGUUGUGAGUUUAAAUACAAAUACUGUCUUCUAGACAAUAUUCACUCUCAGAAUGAGUCCUCAUUACAUUUAUUGUCANNNNNNNNNNNNNNNNNNNNNNNNNNNNNNNNNNNNNNNNNNNNNNNNNNNNNNNNNNNNNNNNNNNNNNNNNNNNNNNNNNNNNNNNNNNNNNNNNNNNCUGAUACAAUAUAACAAACAUCAAGUUUAACUGCAGCGGAACAAGCAAUCCAUUAAAAGAGUCAAGUAGAGAAUAAAAUCUACUAUCUUUUAUGAUUUAAAAGGUUUUUCAUCACUUUUAUUGCUGAGACUCAGCUUAAAAAAAUAAUCCACAUCAUCGAAUCACCCCUGCACUACGGCCAAGGAUAUUCUUUAGUAUCACGACCACAAAUUAUCCAUGCACUACGGGCCAAGGACAUUCUUUAGUAUCAUCAAUGGUCAUGAUCAUACCAACAAUUGUCCAUCAAUGCACUACGGGUAAAUGAGGACUUUUUCCACAUCAUUUGUAACAUUACGGUCAUGAUUACACCAAAUAAUCCCUGAUCAUAAUCAUAUCAAGAACAUCUAUGCACUAUAGGCCACAGAUGACUUUUAACAAAAUAUAAACAUGAGGAUGAUGACAAUGAUAUCAGAAUUCAAUAAAACAAGUUCAAGAAUUAAUUUAUCCAGGAACCAAUAACGUCCAAAUUGUCAACACGAUACUGCUUUGUAGAGUAAAAUUCAAGAAUGCUCAGAAGAAUAUUUUCAUGAAAAGAUACUGGAUGAAGCACAAAUAUCAAGGAUAUUCCACUAAUUUCAUGGAGUAUAGAAGUUAAACCUUUAACCAACUGAGUAUAAUAAGGAAUGGAAUAACAAAAGAAAUCACCAGGCAUGCGAUAGACCGCACAAGCAAGUUAUUCCAACAGAAUAAUAAUUAACGGAACCAGGUCCGACGUAAAAUGCACAGACAGGAUAUUUUAACAGAAUAAUAAAGACGGAAUCAGGUCCGACGUAAAACGCACAGACAGGAUAUUCCAACAGAAUAAUAAAGACAGAAUCAGGUCCAGCGUAAAACGCACAGACAGGAUAUUCCAACAGAAUAAUAACGAUUUGAAUAACAGAAGAAUUUCACCAAGUAUAGGGUAGCCCGCGUAUACAGGUUAUUCCAACUGAACAAUAAAUAAUGGAAUAACAGAAGUUCUCUUCAUGAAUACAAAAGAAAUAAUACCCCUUACCGUAAAAAAAGAGUAUUCCGACUGAUAGAGCGAGGAUAUUCUUUAAGAAAACUUGCACUAUGCUCAAAGCUUCUUAAAACUCUAAAGAAAAUACGCUCAAGAUUAUAGAAGAGAAUUCUCUGAAUUUCAGGUGUGAUUUCAAUUCUAACUAAGCAUCCUAUUUAUAGGAGAAUAUAAGGGUUACUGUUAAGAAACGGACGCAACGGAAAUAAUUCACAAGCUGAGUUAUUCAAUUUCACGGAUGGCUACAAUUCAAAUAAAACAAAAACUAAAAUAAAACAUAAUAUAUAUAAAUUCAUUGCAUGCCUUAUACGGCACUUUAUUUGUCCCACCCAAAACUUACACCAAGGCUUACACCAAAG